UUCAGCAGCCAUAUCACCCUGCAACUCACAACUGGCAACCCACUGAAGCUCAGCAGGUGUGAGCCUGGUCAGUACCUGAAUGGGAGACCUCCUGGGAAAAACGUAAGGUUGCUGCUGGAA
rnacentral:rRNA from 1 species